rnacentral:rRNA from 1 species
UACAGAGACUGCAAGCGUUAUUCGGAUUCACUGGGCGUAAAGGGUGCGCAGGCGGCCAAGUGUGUGAGGCGUGAAGCCUGGGGCUUAACUCCAGAAUUGCACCUCAAACUACUUGGCUAGAGCAUUGGAGAGGGUAGCAGAAUUCAUGGUGUAGCAGUGAAAUGCGUAGAUAUCAUGAGGAAUACCAGAGGCGAAGGCGGCUACCUGGACAAUUGCUGACGCUCAGGCACGAAAGCGUGGGGAGCAAAAGGG